rnacentral:rRNA from 1 species
CGCGUAUGGCUCAUUAUAACAGCUAAAAUUUACUUGAUAUUGAGAUUUAUCUACAUGGAUAACUGGGGUAAUUCUGGAGCUAAUACAUGCAUAAAAGCUAUAUCUUUAUUGAUAUGGUGCAGUUAUUGGAUCAAAAUCAAGCAUCUUCGGAUGUUUAUGAUUGACUUCAAAUAAUUACACAGCUGAUCGUAUGGUCUUGUACCGACGACAGAUCAUUCAAGUGUCUGACCUAUCAACUUUCUAUAUAAGUAUAUAGUACUUAUAUGGUUUUGACGGGUAACGGAGAAUUAGGGUUCGACUCCGGAGAAAAUGCCUGAGAAACGGCGUUUACAUCCAAGGAAGGCAGCAGGCGCGAAAAUUACCCACUCUCAGUACGAGGAGGUAGUGACGAGAAAUGACAAGAUCUAGUCCUUCGGGGCUGGAUCAUUGGAAUGGUUUGAUUUUAAAAUCAUUAAAGAGUAUCAAUGAGAGGGCAAGUCUGGUGCCAGCAGCCGCGGUAAUUCCAGCUCUCAUACUGCAUUGAAUUGUUGUUGCGGUUAAAAAGCUCGU